AAUUUUGAUGAAGUUCAACCAUAUAUUAGUGAGUACUCCAGUGGUCAAGAUGGAUGUUCACCACAACCAUUUACCACCAUGUGGAACCAGAAGUUCAGUCAGUGGUUCAAAAGAGAAGAUGAAUAAGUCUGGACUGGUACACAAAGGCAUUGCUAGGCGGACC